CCUACUGGUGGCAGCAGUGAGGAAUAUUGGUCAAUGGGCGCGAGCCUGAACCAGCGAAGUAGCGUGAAGGAUGACUGCCCUACGGGUUGUAAACUUCUUUUAUAAAGGAAUAAAGUGAGGCACGUGUGCCAUUUUGUAUGUACUUUAUGAAUAAGGAUCGGCUAACUCCGUGACAGCAGCCGCGGUAAUACGGAGGAUCCGAGCGUUAUCCGGAUUUAUUGGGUUUAAAGGGAGCGUAGAUGGGUUGUUAAGUCAGUUGUGAAAGUUUGCGGCUCAACCGUAAAAUGGCAAUUGAUACUGGCAGCCUUGAGUACAGGAGAGGGAGGCGGAAUGCGUGGUGUAGCGGUGAAAUGCUUAGAUAUCACGAAGAACUCCGAUGGCGAAGGCAGCUUACUAAACUGCCACUGACAUUGAUGCUCGAAAGUGUGGGUAUCGAACAGGAGUAGAUACCCGAGUAGUC
rnacentral:rRNA from 1 species